rnacentral:rRNA from 1 species
CUGUGAAACUGUGCAUUGCAAAGCGAAUGAUAGAAAGUGCGAACUCUAAGUCCAAUCACUCGUUUGUUGCUAUAUGAAUGUUUUCUAAGAAUGGCAAUGAGUGUAUUGUUCAAAGAGUUUCGUUCUUGUGCAACACCUGUGAAUUUUGGUGAUCAUUGAGAGAAUAAGUAUUUUCUAAAUACUUGUUGUUCAUUGUGCUUUUGCAUUUUGCAUAACAGCGGACGUGACUGGUGUUUAUUGAUUACUUGGUAUGAUGAAUUCCUCUUUACGGUUUACGUAGAGAAAGAAUUAUCAAGUUGAAUUGGUGCAUGAACUUUAAUAUCUGUCAUCUGAACCGUCUUGAAACACGGACUAAGGAGUUCAACUUGAGCGCAAGUCGACUAUGUGAAUAAAGUCUGGGGCAAAGUGAAAGCAAUUGUAUUCAUGUUAACGGAAAUUCAACUCGAAUUACGGUUAGCACAUGAUCUGGGUAGCAAUUUCUUAAUUGCUUACUGCAACAGAGCGCUUUGGUUAUGACCCGAAAGAUGGUGAACUAUGCCUGAUUUGGAUGAAGCCAGGGGAAACCCUGGUGGAGGUCCGCAACGAUUUUGACGUGCAAAUCAAUCGCCAGAGUUGGGUAUAGCGGCGAAAGACUAAUCGAACCAUCUAGUUGCUGGUUCCGUUCGAAGUCUCUCUCAGGAAAGCUGGUGCGGAAAUUUACUUGUAUCUGGUAUAGCUAAUGAUUGGAGGGUACGGAGUUGCUUAAACUUCGACCUACUCUCAAACUUAAAACAGAUACGAGUUCAUUGUUGCUAUUGAUAGCAGUGAACUGCAAUAUAUCGCGCCUUGUGGGCCAUUUUUGGUAAGCAGAACUGGCGCUGUGGGAUGAACCGAACAUUGCGCUAAGGUGCCAGAUUGUCUCUCAUCAGAUUCCAUAAAAGGUGUUAGUUGAUAUUGACAGCAGGGCAGUGGCCAUAAAAGUCGGCAUCUGCUAAGGAGUGUGUAAUUACUCACCUGCCGAAUCAACUAGCCCUGAAAAUGGAUGGCGCUUGAGGCACACACCUAUGCUCAAUCAUCGAUCUUGUAAUUGUUGUUACUCAUGUUUGUUAUGAUCGAUGUGUAGAACGGCAAAGUCGUUGGCAUCGAAGCGUGGGGUGUGAACUCCUGCUGAGCCAACGCUUGUGUAGAUCUUGGUAGUAGUAGCCAUCAUUCAAAGGAGAACUUUGAAGACUGACGUGGAGAAGGGUUCCAUGCCAACAUCGAUUGAACAUGGUUCAGCCGAUCCUAAGCGAAUGUGAAAUCACGUGGAUAUCGCGAUGCUUCGGCUAUCGCACGCGAAAGGGAAUCGGGUUUAUUUUCCCGAGCUAGAGUGCAGACUUGCUGUCUUCUGAUGUUCCUCAUUGGAUUAUAGCAUUAGCGGUAACGCAUACCGACUCAGAGACACUAUGCGGCGCACGAGGAAGAGUUAUCUCUUCUUUGUUAGGUAAUAAUUNCCCUGGAAACGGGUUGUCCGGAGAGAGGGAUUAAUUGCCGUAAAGCCACGCGCUUCGUGCGUGGCAUCGUGUACGCUGUGUAGUUCUUGAAAAUCUGAGAACGUUAUUAAGUCUUGCCUCUGAUCGUACCUUUAUCCGCAACAGGUCUCCAAGGUGCGCAGCCUCUAGUUUUUGGGCUAAAGUAGACAAGGGAAAUCGGCAAAUUGGAUCCGUACCCUUGGUAAAAGGAUUGGCUCUGGCAACUGAGUCAGUCGGGCUGUUGAGAUAGAAUGACGACAUAGUAUGGAGUCGUGACGUGUCUUUUGAUGCUGACUGGCUUCAUCGCUACGUUCGUGUAUCAAAGGCUUCAGCUUUAUGACAUUCUUAUUCUUUCGAAUGGGUUUGUUCACUUGACUGACAUUGAACAGUUCACCCAGAACUGAUACGGACACAGGGNAAUCUAACUGUUUAAUUAAAACAGAGCAUUGCGAUUGCCGUCAUAGGUAUUGACGCAAUGUGAUUUCUGCCCAGUGCUCAGAAUGUUAACGUGGCGACAUCCACAUAAGCGCGAGUAAACGGCGGAAGUAACUAUGACUUUCUCGGGUAGCCAAAUGCCUCGUCAUCUAAUUAGUGACGCGCAUGAAUGGAUCAAUGAGAUUCCCGCUGUCCUUGUCUACAGCUCAGUGAAACCACAGCCAAGGGAACGGGCUUGGUAUUAGACGGCGGGGAAAGAAGACCCUGUUGAGCUUGACUCUAGUCAGUUACUGUGAAGAAGCAUGAAGGAUGUAGCAUACGUGGGACCGUUCGGGUUAAUGAAAUACCACUGCUUUCACUGUUACUUGACUUACUCGAUUGUUCUGUCGUCAGCAUUUUGCUGUUUGUCACGAAUUUAGUCUCUGUCUCUCGCUUGAUAUUGAUUUGAGCAGCUUCGAGUACACUCACUGAUUGGGAGUUUGACUGGGGCGGUACAUCUGUUAAAACCUAACGCAGAUGUCCUAAGGUGAUCUCAGCGAGAUCAGAAACCUUGCAUUGAGCAACAGGGCAUAAGAUCGCUUGACCUUGAUUUCUAGUCCGGAUAUUGACGAUGAAAGUCUGGCCUAUCGAUCCUUUUGAUUAUUACGAGUUUUGAGCAAGAGGUGUCAGAAAAGUUACCACA